rnacentral:rRNA from 1 species
GAUGAACGCUGGCGGCGUGCCUAAUACAUGCAAGUCGAGCGAACAGACGAGGAGCUUGCUCCUCUGACGUUAGCGGCGGACGGGUGAGUAACACGUGGAUAACCUACCUAUAAGACUGGGAUAACUUCGGGAAACCGGAGCUAAUACCGGAUAAUAUAUUGAACCGCAUGGAUCAAUAGUGAAAGACGGUUUUGCUGUCACUUAUAGAUGGAUCCGCGCCGCAUUAGCUAGUUGGUAAGGUAACGGCCUACCAAGGCAACGAUGCGUAGCCGACCUGAGAGGGUGAUCGGCCACACUGGAACUGAGACACGGUCCAGACUCCUACGGGAGGCAGCAGUAGGGAAUCUUCCGCAAUGGGCGAAAGCCUGACGGAGCAACGCCGCGUGAGUGAUGAAGGUCUUCGGAUCGUAAAACUCUGUUAUUAGGGAAGAACAAAUGUGUAAGUAACUAUGCACGUCUUGACGGUACCUAAUCAGAAAGCCACGGCUAACUACGUG